rnacentral:rRNA from 1 species
AGGAUUCCCCUAGUAACUGCGAGUGAAGCGGGAAAAGCUCAAAUUUAAAAUCUGGCGGUCUCUGGCCGUCCGAGUUGUAAUCUAGAGAAGUAAUGCCCGUGCUGGACCGUGUAUAAGUCUCCUGGGAUGGGGCGUCAUAGAGGGUGAGAAUCCCGUCUUUGACACGGACUACCAGUGCAUUGUGGUAUGCUCUCAAAGAGUCGAGUUGUUUGGGAAUGCAGCUCAAAAUGGGUGGUAAAUUCCAUCUAAAGCUAAAUAUUGGCGAGAGACCGAUAGCGAACAAGUACCGUGAGGGAAAGAUGAAAAGAACUUUGGAAAGAGAGUUAAACAGUACGUGAAAUUGCUGAAAGGGAAACGCUUGAAGUCAGUCGCGUUGGCCAGGGAUCAGCCUUGCUUUUGCAUGGUGUACUUUCUGGUUGACGGGUCAGCAUCAAUUUUGACUGCUGGAAAAAGUCCUGGGGAAUGUGGCAGCUCCGGCUGUGUUAUAGCCCCUGGUCGUAUACAGUGGUUGGGAUUGAGGAACUCAGCACGCCGCAAGGCCGGGUUUCGACCACGUUCGUGCUUAGGAUGCUGGCAUAAUGGCUUUAAGCGACCCGUCUUGAAACACGGACCAAGGAGUCUAACAUGCCUGCGAGUAUUUGGGUGGAAAACCCGAGUGCGCAAUGAAAGUGAAAGUUGAGAUCCCUGUCGUGGGGAGCAUCGACGCCCGGACCAGAACUUUUGGGACGGAUCCGCGGUGGAGCAUGUAUGUUGGGACCCGAAAGAUGGUGAACUAUGCCUGAAUAGGGUGAAGCCAGAGGAAACUCUGGUGGAGGCUCGUAGCGAUUCUGACGUGCAAAUCGAUCGUCAAAUUUGGGUAUAGGGGCGAAA